GUAUACCUCCACUAGGGGCUCUAAGCAUAUUACUGGCCGUAGAAGUGGUAGAAAAGGAAUAUAUGCCCAAUAUAAUUGUUUCAGCAGUUACUGGGGGGGGGGGGGGUGGGGGGAGUACUCAUAGCAAUGGUGAGCACAGCCGUCAUAGCUAUUAUUAGAUUAUUCAUCAUAGCUGGUCAUUCCGCCACCUUCAGAUUUUCUUCUCCCAUCUUUGUCAACUUCUUGAUGUGGCCCCAGGAAGAAGUCAUAGAAAUUCCUCUUAAAGAAUUGGCACUAAUUUCUCAGCAUGCAGAGAUCCUUCAGGGACCAAGGUUCUCAUGGUUGUCUGCUUCGUGAUUGAAAUGGAUGUAGAACCCAGCUGUUUUGAGAGCCACUCAUGAUGGUAGCAGUGCCCAUACCGCUAACACUCCACUCCCAGCUGGCUGGAUAUCAAGUCUUUCAGCUUCCUCUGACAGUGGACGUGUGUGAUGGAAGCCUCUGGGCUCCAGAGUGUCUGCUGGAGUAAUCACUGGGGCAGUCAGAACAAUAGUCCCUGAGCUCCUCUUAUCUUCCUCUGCUCAUGUUGAGGUCUCUAGAUGACUUCACUUCCUGUCAAUGUCCUUCCCUUCUUAAACCACCAUGAGUUUGCAUAUUCCACUUCUAUCUACCAAGAACACUCUAGUUCAUGACUGUCACUCAAGGAGGCUUUCAAAUUAAGAUUCACAAGUUUGCUGGCUCUGAAGUUUAGAGGCAAUCUUUAGCUUGAAGAAUCCCACCUGAAGGUUUAGGGAGAUAUAAGGACAGACAUAAAUGUAAAUAACGGCAAGUAGAUAGGAGUGUCUAGAACUUGGAGAGCUGAGAUAAUCUUGUAGAGGGUGCACUUCAUUCCAACUGAAUUCAAGACUACAUCCUCUAUAUGCAUCACAGGAACUGAGUCACACAAAAGAGUGCAGUUAUGGAAUUUGUGCUGUGGAAGCUGAUGCCCUGGAGAAUGAGAAAUGGACCUCAGCUUGGCACUGACAUGGAGAGAGAUGUCUGUC
rnacentral:lncRNA from 1 species